UUAUGCGCGGUUGAUCUUCUUUUGAUUAGGGUUGAGCGGGAAGUUCCCCUGCAAUGCCCUAAUUUCACAGACCGCUGUAUUUAAAUGCUAGUGCUAAGGUUCUAGCAGCAUCGCUCGAUAUCCAGUGGCUGAAGAGUUUAUGCCUGCUUAGCAGAAACGAGCCAUGGUCUACAAAUUAAUAUAUUGCUUGGAUUUAGCACUCUGAAAGAGACAUGUUGAAAAGGAUGAGCUGCCAUUAAGUUGCUGUCUGGUAAGGUCAGAUGUUACAAGUUUCCAGUAUUAAGGCAUGGUUUGAGGAAGAGAUGAACAUGUGGCUGUAAUUCCUUCUUGCAUAAACUUUACAUGCGAUGACAUAUAUCCUUGUAUGAAAGGCAAGUGCUUUCCCUUCUUACACGGGAACCUUUGGAGCUUAUUGUCUGAUUUUGUGGCCCUCUAUGUAAAUAAGCUCUAUGCAGACUGACUUCAAACCAUUAUUUUGGUUCAGGAAAGAUCACUAAGGCUCUAGAAUAAGAACAAAUCACAUUAUUGUUCCUCUGAAGCUCUAAUUUUUUAGCAUUUGUUAUUCCAUUUACAUCAAAUGAAACCCAAUUAAGGGGAUUGGUUUUUUGUUUGGAAGAUAAACAAACGUGGUCCCUCAACAUCAGAAGAUGUUACAAGUUCUGAAUAUUUAUUUC